GUGGGGAAUAAAUAUGUGCAAACUGUGGCUUAUCAAACAUAUCUGUAAACGCAACCGAGGAAUAUCAUAAACCGGUCGUUUCACGCGUUUAUUAUCCUUAAUUUAAGCACGUACACAAGACUAUCUGAAAUACGAUGUUAUUGGCAGUCGAAUGCUUUUACAACGAAGUUUAUUUACUUUAAACUUAUCGCCGAAUACAGAACAUAUGGCCAGGAAUGACCUCGUCCGAGUGCAAGCUUGAAACUCUAAAAGAAAUAGACCGAAGACAUUCAUAAUUGACGUUUCAUCGGGCUAGUGCAUGAUAUCGAAUUCAAAUGAACAUCGUGGAAGUAUGUAAGACAAUUUCUACCAAAUAACCAAUAUAGUAUCUAAUUUGCUGUUACGUAAUCGUAGAAAAAUUAUUCGUACGAUCUGUUACGGUAUAAAUAUUUAUAUUAUGAACAUUGCAAUCUCUUUGUAACUAUGACGAAUGACUGUAUAGCUUAGACCGUUUUCACAUUACACUGCUUUCAUUUUUUUAUUUAUGUGCUAAUGGCGACAUCCAUUGCCAAGAAACCAUCAUUCCUCCUUGACGAAGGUAGUCAGCACGCAGACAAGCUUUCAAACAUUUUUUGUAUUUGUGAAAAUACUAAUUAUAGUAUAUACAGAUGUGCUUCAAUGCUAAGUGAAAACCGAGGCUGAGCUAUUUUAGAUCGAUGCUAUGUAAUGGUAUCCGUAAGAUUUCAGGCGAAAUUAAUGGUAUCGACUGGUACAGUAUCAACCCACAAAACCUUAUUGAAAUAUGCAAACGCGUAAUGAUACCGCCAACGUACGAAUUGAUACACGACUGAAUUUAGAUCGAUACAUUAUUAAUGCGAGUGUGCGCAUCAAACUCUUCGCCUAAAUUGUAACACUGUUUCCUCCGCGGAAUUGUAUUGAUUCCGAAUUUACGGGUCGUUAGUACAACUGUUACAAUAGUGACAGAAUUUAUCACUAUGCAGAAUAAUGUUUCGAAGAGAACCAAAAAGUAAUUCGUGCCAACAGCAAGAACAGAGCAAAUUUUAAUCAAGAGAAAGGAAUAUUUAAUCUCUUAAUGUGCCUGCAAAAUUAGUCGAACUUUGUGCCUUUCCACGAAAUCGACUUUAUUCUCGAGCGAUUAAUUCCAUCCGUAUUUGAUCGUGACGGAACAGAGAACCACAUCGAGCUUUGUCAAUUAAACGUGUUUCGAUCUGAAGCCAAAAGUAAAUAGCAAACAGUGCACAGUCGGAGACGCGCAUACUGUUCUUUCUCUUUUUACGAAACAAGAUUCGAAAGGUUUGUCCGUGCAACCGGUAGUAACACUGCUUACCAGAGCAGAAAGAUGGUAGAUAAAAUUCGCCUAAUUAAUAAAUACGAGGAGAAGCUAAACCUAUAGCAGUUUCUUACCACGCGUGCGCAUUAGCUCUCGAAAGAAAUUCCCAGUAUGCUGUUACUUAACAUUUUCUAUUUCACGCGCCGAAGACGGUCGCUUCAUUAGUCCGGAGAAACGAAUGAAAUGCAUUUUCGAAUAAAUUACCAAAAUGAUCGAAACAACAGCUGAACAACGAAGAACUCGUAAAUCGUAUGCUAAACGUACAUUUCG